rnacentral:rRNA from 1 species
UACGUAGGGGGCUAGCGUUGUCCGGAAUCAUUGGGCGUAAAGCGUGUGUAGGCGGACUUCUAAGUACCUUGUGAAAUCCCACGGCUUAACCGUGGAACUGCUUGGUAUACUGGUUGUCUUGGGCCAUCUAGGGGCUAGCGGAACAAACGGUGGAGCGGUGAAAUGCGUAGAUAUCGUUUGGAACGCCAAUGGUGAAAACAGCUAGCUGGGGAUGUGCCGACGCUGAGACACGAAAGCCAGGGGAGCGAACGGG